AUUGUUAGCAUGUGAUAGCUAAAACAGUCAAGUAGCAAACGUCAAGUGCACAUUAUCAGUCCUUGAAAACUGAAAACAUGCAGUCUGGAUCGGACCAAAGACGACUUUCACCCCGAGCAAUAAUGUUUAUUGAGACAAAGAGACUGAAGAAAGUAAAACGUUUACACCAAAGUCAUAGAGAUGUUUUUGCAGAAGGAUAGGCGAAUGGACUUAACGUGAUUUACAAGUAAAGAGACCCCGUGUCCGUUAGUGCCGGACAUCCAGGAGGACCCUGGGAAACUGGGCGCUGAGCACGACCCUAAGUGGAACCACAGCUGAAGACUCCAUGUGACUUUAAGCUCAACUCCUAUUCACCAUCAGAGAUAAGACACCAGUGCUACUUGUUGCCAGAAGCAAGUAUAGCAAAGCAAACUGGAAUGAAAACCCAUAAAAGACAUAAUCUGUCAGUGUCUUCCAGACAUUGAAAAUAAUGUUUUCUGAUCUCCCACUGCUAUAGCGAAGGUUUUUCCAGGUUAAAUCACUUAGUUUUGUGCAUUAGCAUGCUACCAUUUUUAAAUUAGCACAAACCAUAUGGUUCAACUGAGACUCGUUUAAUUAG
ensembl:lncRNA